rnacentral:lncRNA from 1 species
UUCUCUCCCUCUACCAGCCAAUCUCGCCAUCACCGCUACCAUCGCCGGCACCGUCAUCGCGUGAGCGCGAACCUCCGCCGCUCCUUCUGCCGUUGUACACAUUAGCUCAAGAGCAGCUAAGGCUCGCUCCACCGCUGAGAUCUCUAGUCCUGCCGCUGUUUCCACCACCGCUCGUGCGGCUCCAGCCUCGACCGCCACGUGGCGGUUUCCUUCGGCGAGGCAGAGAGCGAGUAGGAUCUUGGUGACGUAUUUUGCCGUUACGAUCUUGUUGUUGCUACGAAGGCAAGAGACGAGACCUCGCAUGAGACCCGGUGGACAAGUCGGAUCAGAUGGCGGGUCAGGUACGACUACCCGCUCGAGUAGCUGUAGAGCGAGGAGCUUGUCGGAUUCAGAGACGGAUGUGAGGUGAAGCUCUGCGAUCUGGAAGGUUUCUUGGAGAGUGGUGGUGACCGGAAGAGGCGGUGGUGGAGGAGGUGGAUGAGGAGGAGGAGGAGCGGUGGAUGGAGUUUGAUCAAGAUGAUGAGGAAAGCGCCAUUGAGUGAAGCUUUGGGAAGUUGAGGUUGAGGAGGAGGAAGAUGAGGAGGAAGUGGUGGUGGCUUUACGGCGAGGUUGCUGCUGGUGAGGAGAGGUUGGGCUGAGGACGGAUUGUGUGCAGCGGCGGAAGAAGCC